AUUGAACGCUGGCGGCAGGCCUAACACAUGCAAGUCGAGCGAGCGGCGGACGGGUGAGUAAUGUCUGGGAAACUGCCUGAUGGAGGGGGAUAACUACUGGAAACGGUAGCUAAUACCGCAUACCAUCAGAUGUGCCCAGAUGGGAUUAGCUAGUAGGUGGGGUAACGGCUCACCUAGGCGACGCUCCCUAGCUUGUCUGGGAGGAUGAGCAGCCACCCUGGAACUGAGACACGAUCCAGACUCCAACGGUAGGCAGCGGUGGGGAGUAUUGCACAAGGGGCUCAAGCCUGAUGCAGCCAUGCCGCGUGGGUUAAGAAGGCCUUCGGGUUUGAAAGCACUUUCAGCGUGGAGGCGUUACCCGCAGAAGAAGCACCGGCUAACUCCGUGCCAGCAGCCGCGGUAAUAC
rnacentral:rRNA from 1 species